CUUCAAUGAGACUUAGCACCAUUGUCCCCCAUGCUAUCAUUCUGCCCAUCUUUUCUUCUUUGUUGGGUGAAUUCAUGAACUCCUGGAGGAUGGGGAUGAUGACACAUUCAUUUUUAAAUUUCCUAAAUUUCUUUCCAGAUGCCAGAGGAAUUAUGAAAUUUUCAUACAUCCAAGAGUCACCUGGAGAGCCCAUAACACGUGCAAACCCCCAGAGCCCUUUGCAGGUGAUUCUGAUUCUGUGUGUCUGAGGCAGGGCCUAGAUGUGCAUUGCAUUUUAUCCAGCUCCCCAGGAAUCCAGGACGGGUGGUCCUCCGAGCUCACACGCAUGCUGAGAAAUGCAAACCCGGGGAAUAAGGGGCGUGUGGCGAAAAUGAAUGAAGAAGGAGAAGGGGGCAGGAGAUGAAAAGAACACCUAAAGCCCUCUGGAGGUGCAAAGCUCAGAUCUGCCAGGUUGGAAGGGGAACAGCUUUUCCUGGGAGACUCGGAAUUAAACUGACAAAAAACAGAUUAGCAAAAGAAGAGAAGAGUUUCUUUAGGCCUGCAACGUGCACACCUGGGGAGGUUUGCAUAACAUACAUAUGAAUGUGAGCAAUUAUGAACAUCCGUGUAACAGCCUCUUGGAGCAAGAAGCACAUUAGCAACAAGUCCUUGGUACCUCCUGUUGAAUCGACGCUGUGCUGGGGACGCAGGACCUCCGCCUGACACCACAGAGGAAGUGGCUGUUGACCCCAGUCAACGGGGCUGGUAGAGAUCAGACUGCGAUUCGGUGACUUACCAGCUGUGGAACUUCGGUCACUUUCCCUGCCUCGGAGCCUCGGUCUCCUCACACACGCCGUGUUGGAGGGACACCUAUCUCAUAAGCUUGUUUGCGGAUUGAGCACGUGAGCCUUGCCUCUGUGCCGCCCCAGCGGGCCUGAAGUCACGGUGUUUCAGCACACUAGGCUGCCACCCUGGGCAGGUGUCUCUUCUCCAUCCCCUCACCCACCAUCAAGACCGAAAGUACACUGUUACAGCAGAUAGCCCAGUGACUUUCAAUGGCGUUUGGUCAAAGGGAAAGGGGGAUUUUGUGGUUACGAUAGCUGGGAAGCAGUGCUGACUUCAAUGGGAGGGACAGGGCCACGAAACACCAUGGAACGUAGAAAGCGUGGCCUCCCCAAGAAUGUCGUCAGCAUCCCCUUUGAGAAACAAAGCCACGUCUGAGAGUCCAGAAGGAAAUAAAAAAGGAUCGAACAAGC